rnacentral:rRNA from 1 species
AUUGAACGCUGGCGGCAGGCCUAACACAUGCAAGUCGAGCGCGCGGCGGACGGGUGAGUAAUGUCUGGGAAACUGCCUGAUGGAGGGGGAUCACUACUGGAAACGGUAGCUAAUACCGCAUACCAUCAGAUGUGCCCAGAUGGGAUUCGCUAGUUGGUGGGGUAAUGGCUCACCAAGGCGACGAUCCCUAGCUGGUCUGAGAGGAUGACCAGCCACACUGGAACUGAGACACGGUCCAGACUCCUACGGGAGGCAGCAGUGGGGAAUAUUGCACAAUGGGCGCAAGCCUGAUGCAGCCAUGCCGCGUGUAUGAAGAAGGCCUUCGGGUUGUAAAGCACUUUCAGCGAGGAGGCGUUACUCGCAGAAGAAGCACCGGCUAACUCCGUGUCAGCAGCCGCGGUAAUAC